rnacentral:rRNA from 1 species
GAUGAACGCUAGCUACAGGCUUAACACAUGCAAGUCGAGGGACCGGCGCACGGGUGAGUAACGCGUAUCCAACCUGCCCACCACUUGGGGAUAACCUUGCGAAAGUAAGACUAAUACCCAAUGGUGAUGGAUGGGGAUGCGUCUGAUUAGCUUGUUGGCGGGGUAACGGCCCACCAAGGCAACGAUCAGUAGGGGUUCUGAGAGGAAGGUCCCCCACAUUGGAACUGAGACACGGUCCAAACUCCUACGGGAGGCAGCAGUGAGGAAUAUUGGUCAAUGGACGAGAGUCUGAACCAGCCAAGUAGCGUGCAGGAUGACGGCCUAUGGGUUGUAAACUGCUUUUAUAAGGGAAUAUGUACCUUAUGAAUAAGGACCGGCUAAUUCCGUGCCAGCAGCCGCGGUAAUACGGAAGGUCCGGGCGUUAUCCGGAUUUAUUGGGUUUAAAGGGAGCGUAGGCCGGAGAUUAAGCGUGUUGUGAAAUGUAGACGCUCAACGUCUGCACUGCAGCGCGAACUGGUUUCCUUGAGUACGCACAAAGUGGGCGGAAUUCGUGGUGUAGCGGUGAAAUGCUUAGAUAUCACGAAGAACUCCGAUUGC